UGUGACCAUAGCUGUCAAUACUAUUUGGAUGUAACCACCUGAUUUUGAGAAUCUUUUAGAUGUAACCAUCUGAUCCUGAGAAUCAUAAUCAAAUAACUGCACCAAAUUCGGUCAGCCUAUCUACCAAAAAUAGUUACACAGCCGUCUCCUCUAUAAAUACUCAAACUUCGAGGACCCAGAUAAGUAAUCCAUUUCAGAGAGCUAAAACUUUGUUUCUCUAUUUGCGCCUUUUGACUUAAGCAUUAGAAGGUCCUCAUCGG
rnacentral:lncRNA from 1 species